GUGCCAGCAGCCGCGGUAAUACGUAGGGUGCGAGCGUUAAUCGGAAUUACUGGGCGUAAAGCGUGCGUAGGCGGUUGCGCAAGACAGGUGUGAAAUCCCAGGGCUCAACCUUGGAAUUGCACUUGUGACUGUGCGGCUGGAGUGCGGCAGAGGGGGAUGGAAUUCCGCGUGUAGCAGUGAAAUGCGUAGAUAUGCGGAGGAACACCGAUGGCGAAGGCAGUCCCCUGGGCCUGCACUGACGCUCAUGCACGAAAGCGUGGGGAGCAAACAGGAUUAGAUACCCUCGUAGUCC
rnacentral:rRNA from 1 species